GAUGAACGCUAGCUACAGGCUUAACACAUGCAAGUCGAGGGGCAGCAUUAUCGAAGCUUGCUUUGGUAGAUGGCGACCGGCGCACGGGUGAGUAACGCGUAUCCAACCUUCCCCAUAGUAGGGCAUAGCCCGUAGAAAUGCGGAUUAAUACCCUAUGUAUUCCGAGGAUGACAUCUGAUUCGGAACAAAGGUUCACCGCUAUGGGAUGGGGAUGCGUCUGAUUAGGUAGUCGGCAGGGUAACGGCCUACCAAAGCAACGAUCAGUAGCCGACUUGAGAGAGUGAUCGGCCACAUUGGGACUGAGACACGGCCCAGACUCC
rnacentral:rRNA from 1 species